ensembl:lncRNA LINC01232 long intergenic non-protein coding RNA 1232
UUUCAGGGGGAUGCCCUGGGUAAAGUUUGGGUCACCUAAUGGGCCCUCUACUUUUCAAAGUCCUCUUCUCUGUUCCAGACCACUAUGGGCAACUCUCUAUCUAUUCGACCUGAUUCCACUAUGGGCAAUUCUACACCUGUUCCACCGGAUUCCUCACUUGGCUACAUCAUCCACCAUUGGAAUCAAUUUGACCCUGACACUCUAAAGGGAAAAUGUAUAAUUUUUUUCUGUAAUACUGUUUGGCCCCAUUAUGAGCUGCCCAGCCCCCAGCAAUGGGCAGUCAGUGGUAGCCUUAAUUAUGACACCAUCCUGCAAUUAGACCUACUUUGCAAGAGGCUGGGAAGAUGGUCAGAAGUCCCAUAUGUACAGGCUUUUAUCAAAAUAUCAAAAACCUAACAAUCUGUGAAACUCCCAGAACCCACCCCCCAAAGGAAAGUACUAAGGCAGAACUAGAUAUUAUAGAUGACCCUCUUUUACAAGGGCUAGCUGUCUCUCAGGGUGAACAGCAACCAUCCCCAUAAAGCCCCUUGCCAAGUGCUCCUGAGGCUAAAACCCAGGAGCAAACACCAGGGACCCUACUAAAUCCCCCUCACACUUGGAGAGGAAUGCCAUAUUCAAUUCUCUCUCCAGCCCUGCUACCUCUUAGGGAAGUAGCAGGAACCAAGGGGCCAGUCCUAGUGCAGGCCCCCUUCUCUAUAAUUUAUACAUACAAUAUAAGGAAAAGCUAGGAAACUAUUCUGAGAAUCCUAAGAAACUUGCAGAUGGGUUCCAGCGUUUGACCUUAGCCUCUGAUCUAUCAUGGAGAGAUGUUCAAUUCAUUCUAGCAACCUGUUACACACCCUCAGAAAAGGAAUGAAUCUCUGAGGCCGCCCACCUGCAAGCAAUGAAUUAUUUGCCCAAAACUCUCAGGGCAAUCAUCCCGGCCCAGACACAGUUCCCACUAUUGAUCAUAAUUGGGACUAUAACACUCCUGAGGAAAUGAACAACCGGGCUAAAUUUCUUGAGGCUCUCCUUGGAGGAAUGAGAAAGGGAAUAACUAAAGGCAGUAAAUUAUGAUAAAGUAAGGGAGGUUACACAAGGCAAGGAGGAAAAUCCAGCCAUGUUUUAUGGCAGGCUGGAGGGAGACUUUAAAAAAUAUACUAAUCUGGACCCUUCCUCUCCCGAAGGCAAAAUAUUAAUAGCACAGCAUUUCAUUAGCCAAUCUGCCCCAGACAUUAGAGAUAAGCUCCAAAAGCUACAGAUGGGGCCACAAACUAAUCAAAAUCAGCUUACUUAUAUCACAUUUAUGGUGUAUAACAAUCGUGACCUGAAGGAAGGAAAAAGGGAACAGAGUAAACAAAAUGGCAAGCCAAAAGUAUGGCAGCCAUCAUUGACGAUGCCCUGAAUGUACAAAGAGUGUCUAAGGGAAACCCGAAGGGCCAUAAAGAUAAUGCCAGCAAAGGCUCUUGCUUCAAAUGCAAGAAAAGAAGACAUUGGGCAAAGGAUUGUGCUAAGUCCCCGCCAGGCCCCUGCCGUCAAUGCAAGGGCACCAGUCAUGACCCCUGGCACUGGAGAAUUGACUGCCCAUGUUCCCACUGAGGGGCUCAGUCAGUCAAAACUCUAGCAGUGCAAAAGGAGGAAUUAGAUGAAGACUGAAGGGGCCUGAGGUCUUCCUCACUGCCCCUGUUCAGGAACAUUGUAAUUACUACUGAGGAGCCCCAGGUAACUCUGGACGUCAUGGGCACCCAAAUUCAGUUUCUUUUUGAUGCAGGAGCAAAUUACUCUGUUCUUACUGCUUAUGCAGUAAGGCGUUCCUCCCAGUCCACAAGUGUUAUGGGAAUAGAAUGGAAGCCACAAACGAGUUUUUAUUUUAUUUUAUUUUAUUUUAUUUUACUUUAAGUUCUGGGAUACAUAUGCAGAAUGUGCAGGUUUGUUACAUAGGUAUACAUGUGCCAUGGUGGUUUGCUGCACCUAUCGACCCAUCAUCUAGGUUUUAAGUCCCACAUGGAUUAGGUAUUUGUCCUAAUGCUCUUCCUCCCCUUGCCCCCAACCCCCCAACAGGCCUUGGUGUGUGAUGUUCCCCUCCCUGUGUCCAUGUGUUCUCAUUGUUCACCUCCCACUUAUUAGUGAGAACAUGCGGUGUUUGGUUUUCUGUUCCUGUGUUAGUUUGCUGAGAAUGAUGGUUUCCAGCUUCAUCCAUGUUCCUGCAAAGGACAUGAACUCAUUCUUUUUUAUGGUUGCGUAGUAUUCCAUGGUGUAUAUGUGCCAUAUUUUCUUUAUCCCGUCUAUCACUGAUGGGCAUUUGGGUUGGUUCCAAGUCUUUGCCAUGGUAAAUAGUGUUGCAGUAAACAUACAUGUGCAUGUAUCUUUAUAAUAGAAUGAUUUAUAAUCCUUUGGGUAUAUAUCCAGUAAUGGGAUUGCUGGGUCAAAUGGUAUUUCUGGUUCUAGAUCCCUGAGGAAUCACCACACUGUCUUCCACAAUGGUUGAACUAAUUUACACUCCCACCAACAGUGUAAAAAUGUUCCUACUUCUCCACAGCCUCACCAGCCUGUUUCCUGACUUUUUAAUGAUCACCAUUCUAACUGGUGUGAGAUGGUAUCUCACUGUGAUUUUGAUUUGCAUUUCUCUAACAACAAGUGAUGAGCAUUUUUUCAUAUGUUUGUUGGCUGCAUAAAUGUCUUCUUUUGAGAAGUGUC